rnacentral:rRNA from 1 species
UACGUAGGGCGCAGGCGUUGUCCGGAAUUAUUGGGCGUAAAGAGCUCGUAGGCGGCCUGUUACGUCUGCUGUGAAAUCCCGGGGCUUAACCCCGGGCGUGCAGUGGAUACGGGCAGGCUGGAGGCAGGCAGGGGAGAACGGGAAUUCCCGGUGUAGCGGUGAAAUGCGCAGAUAUCGGGAGGAACACCGGUGGCGAAGGCGGUUCUCUGGGCCUUACCUGACGCUGAGGAGCGAAAGCGUGGGGAGCGAACAGG